rnacentral:SRP_RNA from 1 species
UGCCGGGUCUUACGCGACUCGUCCCUGCCAACCCCGCCAGGUCCGGAAGGAAGCAACGGUACGCGGCGUGUCGGGGGCGCUGUAAGGGUGCCCGGCAUUU